rnacentral:rRNA from 1 species
AUUGAACGCUGGCGGCAGGCCUAACACAUGCAAGUCGAGCGAUCGGCGGACGGGUGAGUAAUGUCUGUGAAACUGCCUGAUGGAGGGGGAUAACUACUGGAAACGGUAGCUACUACCGCCUCCCAUCAGAUUUGACCAGAUGGGUUUAGCUAGUGGGUGGGGUAACGGCUCACCUAGGCGACGAUCCCUAGCUGGUCUGCGAGGAUGACCAGCCACACUGGAACUGAGACACGGUCCAGACGCCGACGGGAGGCAGAAGUGGGGAAUAUUGGACAAUGGGCGCAAGCCUGAUGCAGCAAGGCCGCGGGUGUGAAGAAGGCCUUCGGGUUGUAAAGCACUUUCAGCGGGGAGGCGUUACCCGAAGAAGAAGCACCGGCUAACUCCGUGCCAGCAGCCGCGGUAAUUC